rnacentral:rRNA from 1 species
UACGAAGGGGGCUAGCGUUGCUCGGAAUUACUGGGCGUAAAGCGCACGUAGGCGGCUCUUUAAGUCGGAGGUGAAAUCCUGGAGCUCAACUCCAGAACUGCCUUCGAUACUGUAGAGCUUGAGUUCGGGAGAGGUGAGUGGAACUGCGAGUGUAGAGGUGAAAUUCGUAGAUAUUCGCAAGAACACCAGUGGCGAAGGCGGCUCACUGGCCCGAUACUGACGCUCAGGCACGAAAGCGUGGGGAGCAAACAGG